rnacentral:rRNA from 1 species
UACGAAGGGGGCUAGCGUUGCUCGGAAUUACUGGGCGUAAAGCGCACGUAGGCGGCUUUCUAAGUCGGGGGUGAAAUCCUGGAGCUCAACUCCAGAACUGCCUUCGAUACUGGAGCUUGAGUCCGGGAGAGGUGAGUGGAACUGCGAGUGUAGAGGUGAAAUUCGUAGAAUAUUCGCAAGAACACCAGUGGCGAAGGCGGCUCACUGGCCCGGUACUGACGCUGAGGUGCGAAAGCGUGGGGAGCAAACAGGG